rnacentral:rRNA from 1 species
UACGUAGGGUGCAAGCGUUAUCCGGAAUUAUUGGGCGUAAAGAGCUCGUAGGCGGUUUGUCGCGUCUGCUGUGAAAACUGGAGGCUCAACCUCCAACCUGCAGUGGGUACGGGCAAACUAGAGUGCGGUAGGGGAGAUUGGAAUUCCUGGUGUAGCGGUGGAAUGCGCAGAUAUCAGGAGGAACACCGAUGGCGAAGGCAGAUCUCUGGGCCGUAACUGACGCUGAGGAGCGAAAGCAUGGGGAGCGAACAGG